AAAGCCAUAGCUCAAUACUUUGCAUCUACACUUAAUUCCGCCAUCUAAUUUUGCUUUUUACUUUUUCCAAGGUAUUAGAUCACCUAUUAUUAGAAUGCAAUAUCUAGACUGUCUAUUUGAAGGAGAUCUUGUCUAUUCUGCAUCAAAAUACCCAACAAUCUGCACUCCUUGUCUUCAUACAACAAACCUUGUCUUGGAGCCCCUUGGUAUACUUCG
rnacentral:misc_RNA from 1 species